GGCCUCGUGGUGUAGUGGUUAACAUGCCUGCCUGUCACCCAGGAGAUCGCCGGGUCGACCCCGGGCGGGACCGCCA
rnacentral:tRNA from 1 species